AACGAACGCUGGCGGCAUGCCUAAUACAUGCAAGUCGAACGAUCACUUCGGUGGUAGUGGCGCACGGGUGCGUAACGCGUGGGAAUCUGCCCUUGGGUUCGGAAUAACGUCGGGAAACUGACGCUAAUACCGGAUGAUGACGUAAGUCCAAAGAUUUAUCGCCCAGGGAUGAGCCCGCGUAGGAUUAGAUAGUUGGUGGGGUAAGGGCCUACCAAGGCGACGAUCCUUAGCUGGUCUGAGAGGAUGAUUAGCCACACUGGGACUGAGACACGGCCCAGACUCCUACGGGAGGCAGCAGUAGGGAAUAUUGGACAAUGGGGGCAACCCUGAUCCAGCAAUGCCGCGUGAGUGAUGAAGGCCUUAGGGUUGUAAAGCUCUUUUACCCGGGAUGAUAAUGACAGUACCGGGAGAAUAAGCCCCGGCUAACUCCGUGCCAGCCGCCGCGGUAA
rnacentral:rRNA from 1 species